UAAAAUUUAACAUGGAAACCGAACACAUUUGAGAAGAACCACGAGACAUAUCAGGAUAAGACGAUAAACUCUGUGGUUUCUGAGCACCAGAAUUUGCAUUUGCAGCAGGUUUCUUAUCAAUUGUAUUUGCAAUCUCACAACCAUUGAUAGAAAAUGGUGGAAUAUUGAAGUGUUGCAGUGGAGGAGGAUUUCUCCACUGGGGAAGUGGCCCUGAAACAAGAAGUGUUUGAAGAAGAGGACCUGCCUCUGUAACAGCUUGUAACAGUUUUCCUUUUUGAGGCAGGACUUUUCCAUUAACAAGACUAUCAAUUGCAGCAUCAGCCGGAUUAACGGAUGGAGAGACCAAACCUGUUGACAUAGAACCAGUAUAUUCUUCAACAUAAGUCUUAGUCCCAAAUUUUAUGUGACUCGUACCAGCCAUGUUUAUGCUUGAGAAAUCUGGGGAAGUAAUUGCAUCAAAGAAGGAAUCCACAGGGGAAGAACCAUGUGAUUGGUGAUUAUAUGUAUCUGAUAGACUGUUAGAUUCGGUUAUGCUUGAGUUUGCCUUCAGGGGUAUAACAAGGGGGCUUUUGGGUUGUGGUUGAGGAAGAAUGGUGUGUAAUUCAGCAGAAUUAGAAGGCAUCAACUCGUUAAGAAGCUUCUGCAACUGUUCUUUUGCCUCGUCUCUUUCUUUGUAUGCCAUCUUCAGGAGAUCAACUAAAUGCUUAACAUUCUCCUUGUGCUUUCUCAUCUCUUCACUUGCUUCAACUUUCAGCGACUCUAGCUCAACGGUUGUGCACAAAAGCUUCUGCCUCAGCUCAUCAAUGUUCUCUUGGUAACUCCACAAAGAACCCAAUUCCUCCAUCUCG
rnacentral:misc_RNA from 1 species